rnacentral:rRNA from 1 species
GACGAACGCUGGCGGCGCGCUUAACACAUGCAAGUCGAGCGAAGCUGCGGCCGGGUGAGUAACCCGUGAGUAACCUGCCUUAGACAUUGGGAUAGCCUCGGGAAACCGUGAUUAAUACCAAAUGGUCUAAGAUGGACUCGCGUCCCAUUAGCUAGUUGGUGGGUAACGGCCCACCAAGGCGACGUUGGGUAGCCGGCGUGAGAGGGUGAACGGCAACAUCGGAACGGGGAAACGGUCCAAACUCUACGGGAGGCAGGAGUGGGGAAUAUUGCAAAAUGGAGGGAGUGAUGAUGCAGCGACGCCGCGUGAACGAAGAAGGCUUACGAGUCGUAAAGGGCUUUUAUAUGGGAAGCGGUACCAGAAGAAAAAGCCCCGGCUAACUACGUGCCAGCAGCCGCGGUAAUUC